rnacentral:rRNA from 1 species
GACGAACGCUGGCGGUGUGCUUAACACAUGCAAGUCGAACGGUAAGGCCCUUUCGGGGGUCCACGAGUGGCGAACGGGUGAGUAACACGUGAGUAACCUGCCCUCAUCUCUGGGAUAACAGUCGGAAACGGUUGCUAAUACUGGAUAUGAGCCUGCACGGCAUCUUGUGGGUUGGAAAGAUUUUUUGGUUGGGGAUGGACUCGCGGCCUAUCAGCUUGUUGGUGAGGUAGUGGCUCACCAAGGCUUCGACGGGUAGCCGGCCUGAGAGGGCGACCGGCCACAUUGGGACUGAGAUUCGGCCCAAACUCCUACGGGGGGCAGCAGUGGGGAAUAUUGCACAAUGGACGGAAGUCUGAUGCAGCAACGCCGCGUGCGGGAUUACGGCCUUCGGGUUGUAAACCGCUUUCAAUUGUGACGAAGCUUUUUGUGACGGUAGCAGUAGAAGAAGCACCGGCUAACUACGUG